CACAGAACGAAAAGCCCCCCGCUGGGGGUGGGGGAAGGCUCAGAAGCUCCAAGUGACACAGCCUGGAGACCCAGCUCUGUCACUCAACUCUACAUAGCCUUCACCCAGAGCCUGACAGUGUAUAUGAACAAGAGGCUGUGCCUGGUGAGUGCUUCUGCCACUUUCUCCAGGAUGACAGCUGUGGACUCCUGCCACAUCCAACACCCCCUUGCUGCUCCCCACCGCCCUCCUUGGCACCCAGGUGGCUGAUCUCCUAUGGUCUUGCUGGCUUCUCUACCUUGUAUGCUGAGGGCGGGCCCAGCCUGCCCCAGCUCAGGGUCUGCACAUAGUAGGUGCUUGCAUGUUGCCUGCUAAACUGACAGCCCUGUAACCAUGUCAGCACAAAGCAACCAGCAUUUUGGGUGCAUCUGCAGUUAAAAUAAACCACUGAGGUCAUGGGUCUGUUCUCUCUGCAAAAACAAAAAUACCCCACUAGCCAUAUCUGAUGAGAACCAUAGCAAAAGAUCAGAAUGUAAUGGCUUCAUCCAGAAGCAAAGCAUGAGGUUCCAAACCAUGUCCCUGACCUGAAGGGGCACCUGCCCAGGCCCAGGGGUGCCAACUCCUAGAGGCAGCUGGCAUGUGACUACUGUGCCCAGUAGAGAAAGGCAGACACUCAGUCCCCAGAGCCCAGAGCCCCGAGGGAAUUAUGGAACAUCCUCCAUAUUUGAUUCAAAAUAAAAACCACAGUAAACCAUAGACCCAAAACUUAUACGUCGGCUGAAAUUAAAAUAGCUUCUUGCUACGUUUUCUGGUUUCAAUAUUCUGGAUAAACUCAUGGAAGCUGAA
ensembl:lncRNA PSD2-AS1 PSD2 antisense RNA 1